AUGUUCAAGGCUGUAUCACAGUGUCCUAUAUUCGGCGGAGGGACCCGUCUGACCGUCCUCGGUCAGCCCAAGUCGGCCCCCUCGGUCACACUCUUCCCACCCUCCAAUGAGGAGCUCAGCGCCAACAAGGCCACCCUGGUGUGCCUCAUCAGUGACUUCUACCCCAGCGGCUUGACGGUGGCCUGGAAGGCAGACGGCACCCCCGUCACCCAGGGCGUGGAGACCACCAAGCCCUCCAAACAGAGCAACAACAAGUACGCGGCCAGCAGCUACCUGAGCCUGUCACCGGACCAGUGGAAAUCUCGCAGCAGAUUCACCUGCCAGGUCACGCACGAGGGGACCAGCGUGGAGAAGAGUGUGGUCCCCGCAGAGUGUUCUUAGGUCCCCGAGACUGUCAGGGAUGGAGGCCUUCCUCACCCAGAUACACCUUCCCCAGCUCACCAUGUACCCCUGAGAGCCAACUCCUGGAUCAGCUCAGACCAGGAAGGUCACACACCCUCCUGGUUUCUAUUUGUGCUCAAUAAAGAACUUGUCAUUUAUCAUUCAA